rnacentral:rRNA from 1 species
UACGGGGGGGGCAAGCGUUGUUCGGAAUUACUGGGCGUAAAGGGCGCGUAGGCGGCCUGUUAAGUCACACGUGAAAUCCCUCAGCUUAACUGGGGAACUGCGUCUGAUACUGGAUGGCUUGGAUUUGGGAGAGGGAUGCGGAAUUCCAGGUGUAGCGGUGAAAUGCGUAGAUAUCUGGAGGAACACCGGUGGCGAAGGCGGCAUCCUGGACCAACAUUGACGCUGAGGAGCGAAAGCCAGGGGAGCAAACGGG